rnacentral:rRNA from 1 species
AUUGAACGCUGGCGGCAUGCCUUACACAUGCAAGUCGAACGGUAACGGGCCUUCGGGUGCCGACGAGUGGCGAACGGGUGAGUAAUGUAUCGGAACGUACCUUUCAGUGGGGGAUAACGUAGCGAAAGUUACGCUAAUACCGCAUAUUCUGUGAGCAGGAAAGCAGGGGAUCGCAAGACCUUGCGCUGAUUGAGCGGCCGAUAUCAGAUUAGCUAGUUGGUGAGGUAAAGGCUCACCAAGGCGACGAUCUGUAGCGGGUCUGAGAGGAUGAUCCGCCACACUGGAACUGAGACACGGUCCAGACUCCUACGGGAGGCAGCAGUGGGGAAUUUUGGACAAUGGGGGCAACCCUGAUCCAGCCAUGCCGCGUGAGUGAAGAAGGCCUGGUGUAAG